rnacentral:tRNA from 1 species
GGGCUCAUAGUCUAGGUCGGUUAUGACGUCGCCUUGACAUGGCGGAGGUCGCCGGUUCGAAUCCGGCUGGGCCCA